UACGUAGGUGGCAAGCGUUGUCCGGAAUUAUUGGGCGUAAAGAGCUCGUAGGCGGCUGUUCAAGUCGAACGAUGAAACCUCGGGCGUCAACUCCGAGCCUGCGUUCGAUACUGGAUGGCUAGAGUCUGGUAGGGGGAUCUGGAAUUCUGGUGUAGCGGUGGAAUGCGCAGAUAUCAGGAGGAACACCGGUGGCGAAGGCGGGAUCCUGGCCAGUACUGACGCUGAGGAGGCGAAAGCGUGGGAGCAACAGG
rnacentral:rRNA from 1 species